GCUCAAUUUGGCAGCGCAUAUACUAAAAUUGGAAUGAUACAAGGAAGAUUAGCAUGGCACUUGUAAAAGGAUAACACACAAAUUUGUGAAGUGUUCCAUAUUUUC
rnacentral:snRNA from 1 species